rnacentral:misc_RNA from 1 species
UCUACCGAAUCAACCACGAGAAAAACCUACUGGGGGGAGCCACACUCAACUACGACACACGCCGCCUGUCGGCAGAAGAUGCCUUUACAUCCUCCAUGGACAUUUGUGAUCAAAUCACCAUGGGUAUCUCCACACUUUUCGGACCACGGUCUCAGCAUCUAGCUGCCUUCACUGACACCAUGUGUUCACAUCUACACAUUCCACACAUCGAAUACCGGGAAACGACGCUUGCGCAGACGUUACUUUCCGGUUUUUCCAUUAAUAUCCAUCCAAAAUCAGACCAGUUAGCUAGGGCGUACAUUGAUCUCAUUGACAGCUAUAAAAUGAAAUCAGUUCUCCUUUCUGAACCCCCUGGCCGUGGAGAUAUGGGUUUACGUCAUAGCGGCCUACAUGUUAGUCAGUUUCUGUAUAUUCGUGCUGGCGCGGUUCAGCCCCUACGAGUGGUACAACCCCCACCCUUGUAACCCCGACACAGACACCGUACAGAACACCUUUGACCUGUCCAACAGCUUCUGGUUCUCCGUGGGGACACUAAUGCAGCAGGGCUCGGACAUCAACCCACGUGCUAUUUCCACCCGGAUUGUUGGGGCCACGUGGUGGUUUUUUACACUGAUUAUCAUUUCAUCCUACACUGCUAAUCUAGCGGCGUUUUUGACUGUGGAACGAAUGAUUUCUCCGAUAGAAAGUGCAGAGCAGCUAGCAGCACAGAGCUCUAUUGCAUACGGGACCUUGGAGGGAGGGUCUACCAUGACAUUUUUCAAAGAUUCCAAAAUCGACACCUAUCGUCGAAUGUGGCACUACAUGAAGACCAAGGAACCAACCGUGUUCGUGAAGAAUGCGCGUGACGGCGUGGAGAAGGUAUUGGCGGGAAACUACGCCUACCUAAUGGAGUCUACGUCCAUCGAAUACGAGGUCCAGCAAAACUGUGACCUGAUGCAAGUCGGAGGUCUGCUGGACUCUAAGGGUUUCGGGGUUGCCACGCCCAUGGGGUCCCCACUGAGGGAUAAACUGUCGCUGGCGAUACUCCACCUACAGGAGGACGGGAAGGUCCAGGAGUUGUACAAUAAAUGGUGGAAGGGGACCGGCAAAUGCAUGUCUGACCGUAAGGCCACCGAGUCGAAGGCGAACGCGCUGGACGUCAACAAUGUGGGUGGUAUAUUUGUGGUGCUUCUUGGGGGACUAGCGAUUGCCGUCCUGGUGGCGUUCUUGGAGUUUAUCUGGAAAUCCAGGAAAAACGCCCAGGAAGACAGACAAUCAUUGUGUUCCGAAAUGAUUCAAGAACUAAGGUUUGCAGUUCGAUGUCAUGGUUCUUCGAAAAAAUCGAAAUCCAAGCGGGCAUGCGCAAAGUGCAAAAAAGGACACUCAGCUUCCUGUCCACUAACUGUUGGUAUGCCAAAAGACUCAAGUUCAUCUAACGGUAUUCUCCCUCUCCGAGAACUCAGAAAAUCCCCCGUGUCAAGGGGUAGAGAUUUCGCUUUUGGGGAAGGGUCUUACAUGCAUGUGGAGUAUAGCGAUACAGAGACGUGACAAAUAGUGAGGACCGUCACAAAACGGAAAUUUUGUCAGUGUGCCUUAAUCCACCAGUCUCAAUACUUCAUUGAAUGAUGUGCAUUUUAUCGUUAGAUCGCCCUGUUCUACGAAAGUGAUUUCAUGUUUGGAUCAUCUUCACGUUCUUUGCCGGAUUACUUGUGAUAGUCUGUGAUAUAAUUCCAUUGCUUCGUUGAUAUAUAUUGCUGUUUAUCUUUCAUUUUCACCAAUGCAUUUUUAUUUCUAACAUGGCCAUUAACUCCAUGGGUGUUAUUCGCAUUGCGCAUGCCAUGUGAAUGAAAGGAAAUGCAUUACUGUUUAUUCACAAGAUGAAAAAAAAAAUGAAACUUUAUUGUUAAUGUUUUUGAACAUGUUGCAGAUGUGAGAAUUUGGAUUUUUGUUUUUAAAUGUCGAUGGAUUAGUUAUCUACAGCCCAGUACAGUAUUUUUAUUCCACAUGAAGCUUUUUUUCAGUAACAAUAGUUUUUAUUGACUAUUUCAUUUCUCCACAUGGAGGAAAAUUUUGUUGAAUAUUAAUAAAAUAAUAAUUAAAAACC